GACGAACGCUGGCGGCGUGCUUAACACAUGCAAGUCGAACGGAAAGGCCCUGCUUGCAGGGUACUCGAGUGGCGAACGGGUGAGUAACACGUGGGUGAUCUGCCCUGCACUUCUGGUUAAGCCUGGUAAACUGGGUCUAAUACCGGAUAGUAGCCAUUUUUAUUGUGAUGGUUGGUAAGUUUUUUGGGUGUUGGAUGAGCUCGCUGCCUAUCAGCUUGUUGGUGGGGUAAUGGCCUACCAAGGCGGCGACGGGUAGCCGGCCUGGGGGGGUGGACGGCCAAAUUGGGACUGAGAUACGGCCCAGACAGGGAAGGGAGGCAGAAGGGGGGAAAAUUGCACAAUGGGCGCAAGCCUGAUGCAGCGAGGCCGCGUGGGGGAUGACGGCCUUCGGGUUGAAAAAUCAAUUCGCUAGGGACGAAGCUUUUUGUGACGGUACCUAGAUAAGAAGCACCGGCUAACUACGUG
rnacentral:rRNA from 1 species